UACGUUAAUCAUAAAUCAAGAGAAUGUCCCCAUCGAUUUGCACCCAUAAAUCUAAGCACAGUUUACAAGGAUCACAGAUGGAAGGAACCCCAAGUACCACAUGAAAGAAGCUCUUGCCUGCUUCUAAAGUUUGAGCCAAGGAAGUUGAGAGGUUUGUAAACAUGUGUACUGCCAGAUCCAUCCUAGGGUAGGAAAGGGAGAAAGGCAAAUAGAAUAUUGUUGUUGUUGUUAUUACUAUUGCAACCAAUAAUAUUUAUUUUGAAAUAGUGUUUUGCUCCAUAGCCCAGGAUAGACUUGAACUCACAUUCCUCCUGCCUGCCUCAGCUUCCCCAGGGCUUGGAAUUUAUAAGACACAAGCAUACCUGUGUAGGAACCUCUGUAGAGAAAAAUCUAACUGGCAGAAACUGUGUUACUAUCUAGAAGACACUGGACCUCUGUUAUAACUCCUGAAAGGACUGUGCAACAAAGCUGAAUUUAUGAAGCUUGGAAGAUGUUGUUUAAAAGUUGAGGGCCAGCUCGGUGACUCAAUGGCCAUCCAUCCAUCCAUCCAUCCAUCCAUCACUAGGUUGGAGUAAUUUGAGAUUGAAAAUGGCAGCAAAGCAGAGGGGUGAAGCAAGACACCUGAACCCAGACCUCUGUUCCAGUCCACAUGCACAUUGGGCCAAUGUCACAUGCUUCUCUUGGUCUCAGUUUCUAGAUCUACAACAUGAGAAAGGAAUCUUAGAGACCUCAGGGGCUUGUAAAGAGGUUCAGGGAGGUCCAUCGAUGCAAAGGGCUCCAUGACCAGGUGGCUGUUCCAAUGAUUGCUGUCAGUGCUUGCUGGAAGGUCACUGGACAGGACAGGGCUGGAGGCUCCAAACUCAGCCAACCGUAUUAACAUCCCCAUCCAUCGAGGCUUUUUAAAAUAAGGGCAGCUAAUGAUCAAGAACAUGCCCGGGUUUUACAUUCGCGUCUUGCCUCUCCCAAGCCUCUUUCUGAAGGAAGUGCUAAUGAGCAGAGAAAUGGCCAAAAGGUGAUCAGCAGGAGGGUGGGGUAGGUGGAAGCAGCUUGGCCCGCUCUAACUAGGCAAUCAGCUCUGGAAGAAGAGGCCUAACAGGCGGGCAGAGAGUCCUGCGCCCAGUGCCAGCCCCACUUGGCACCAGAAGGAAGUGAGAGCUUUUGCAGGGGCGGCAGCCUUGUAUCUGGUUCUAGAGAUGCUACGGAAAGGAGCCCACAACCUUCUCCACCCCAGUUUAGAUCCGUGCACCUCACUGAGCCUCCUCACAAGCCCCCAUGAAGAGGGUCGGUCUCCUGUCUUAUUUUAUAGAUCUGGAAACGGAGUCAGUCUGGGAGAGGCAAGUACUUCUCUCUGCUUGUGAGAAGGAGUGGGUGCCGACUCUUGCAAACCUUCCU
rnacentral:lncRNA from 1 species